GACGAACGCUGGCGGCGUGCUUAACACAUGCAAGUCGAACGGGAUGAUUUAGAAGCUUGCUUUUAGAGAAUCUAGUGGCAAACGGGUGAGUAACACGUAGGCAACCUGCCGACAGGAUGGGGACAACAUUCCGAAAGGAAUGCUAAUACCGAAUGAAGCGCAGGAGAGGCAUCUCUCCUGCGUGAAAGAUGGCCUCUAUUUAUAAGCUAUCACCUGUCGAUGGGCCUGCGUCUGAUUAGCUGGUUGGUGAGGUAACGGCUCACCAAGGCGACGAUCAGUAGCCGGUCUGAGAGGAUGAACGGCCACAGUGGGACUGAGACACGGCCCAGACUCCUACGGGAGGCAGCAGUGGGGAAUCUUCCGCAAUGGGCGCAAGCCUGACGGAGCAACGCCGCGUGAGUGAAGAAGGUCUUCGGAUCGUAAAGCUCUGUUGAUGGGGACGAACGUGCGAAGGGUGAAUAAACCUUUGUAAUGACGGUACCUGUCGAGGAAGCCACGGCUAACUACGUG
rnacentral:rRNA from 1 species